rnacentral:misc_RNA from 1 species
AAGUCGUAACAAGGUCUCCGUAGGUGAACCUGCGGAGGGAUCAUUUGAGAGUACGCAUUAUGCGUAUUGAAUGAGCGAGGAUAUGAGGUGAACCCCGGAGACGGGGUUCGAGUGGCAGGUGUCCUACCCAGUGUAGGGCCCUGCCGUAUGAAAAGCCAAUGUUGCUUGAUGGUACGUGACUUGAGGUCAUUGUAUAAGGAAAGUUUCUACUAAGAAACCUAAAACUUUUGGCAAUGGAUCUCUUGGUUCUC